GUGAAACACAGAACAUGAGGAAAUGGGACCGGCGGAGACACAGCCAAGAUGGAGCGUUUCCAAAAUGGACUCCCUUCAGUUCCCCUACGUCAAUGCCUUGAAGGAUUACAAAAUGAUACAUGAAGAAAAAAACAUGAAAGCAUCCAGACAGUAAGAAACAGAAGUUCAGAGAAAGGACUAAGGCCAUUAGGAAAAGGCUUGUUCAUGCUGCUUUGUUUCCUUCUGUGCAUGAUGUUUUAACUGAGUUGCAGACAUUACUGAAGAAAAAUUGGAAAAAAAAAUUGUCGGGCCCUAAAUGAUGUUGCAUUUCACAUUAGAGGCCAGAGAUUUUGGCAACACUGAAAUCAGUUUAAUCUACACAACUAUUGAGAAUGCUAAGUUGGAUGUUAGUCUUUGAACUAUGUUUAUUCCUAUCAUUCCCAGCCAAAUUGCUAGGAGUUGUAACAAGAUUUCAACUCAUGCCCCGGUAUGCAUGAACUUUGGUUCCUCUUGUCCCAUGGAUAUUCAGAUGAAUCCUUUCUUAUCUGGCUUUUCUUCAUCUCUACUGAUAUUUUGCUGUUGUUUUACAGUCUGUUUUAUCUGAGAUUAGUACAGCCACUCUAGUUUUCUGUGGUUUCUGUUUGUAGACUUUUUUCUAUCAUUUUGCUUUCAACUCAUAUCUUCAAAUCCAGUGUGUCCCCUAAAGACAACACGUAAUAGGCUAUUGUUUAUUUUAACCAUAUUGACCAACUCUGCCUUUUGAUUGGAUUGUUUACUUCAUUCACAUUUAAUGUUCGGAUUUAUGGCUCAUAGUUUUGUUUUACAUAAAUUGCCUGUCCUCAAUGUUUCUCCAUCAUUAACUGCUUUCUUUUGCAUUAAGUGAAUAUUUUUCAGUAUAACAUUUUCAUUUCUUUAAUAAAUAAGAAGAAAGAAUAAAGAAAGAAGAGGAGGAAGAGGAGAAUAACAAGAACAACGAUGAUGAUCACAACUCCAUGUGCUUGGGCUUUAGAUUUAUUUUAUUUUUCAAUUAAUUUUGCUCCAGGUCUGAUUAUCCAAUCUGUUUGAGUGUUUAGGCCUAAAGCAUUCAAUAUUAAUAUAUUUUAUCCUUAAAAUGGCUCAAGUGAAUCAUAUGCCCAAAGUGAUCUGGAGUCAGUUCCUUCGAAAACCCUGCAAUUGUUGAGGGGCGCAUGGGUUGCUCAGUGGGUUGGGCGUCCCACUUCGACUCAGGUCAUGACCUCACAGUCGUGAGUUCGAGCCCCACGUCGGGCUCUGCGCUGACA